rnacentral:rRNA from 1 species
UACGGAGGGGGCUAGCGUUGUUCGGAAUUACUGGGCGUAAAGCGCACGUAGGCGGCUUUGUAAGUUAGAGGUGAAAGCCCAGGGCUUAACCCUGGAAUUGCCUUUAAGACUGCAUCGCUAGAAUUGUGGAGAGGUAAGUGGAAUUCCGAGUGUAGAGGUGAAAUUCGUAGAUAUUCGGAAGAACACCGAUGGCGAAGGCAGGUCUCUGGGCCAUUACUGACACUGAGGAGCGAAAGCGUGGGGAGCAAACAGG